rnacentral:ncRNA from 2 species
AUCUUAUCCAGAGUAGCUGAGGGACGGGCCCUAUGACGCUCGACAACCGGCAUUUUCCAUUAGAAUGCAUCGGUGUCAAUUCCUGCAGGAUAAUUAAUUUUAUCCUGGAAGAUAAGAU